UAGGGAAUCUUCCGCAAUGGGCGAAAGCCUGUCGGACCAACGCCGCGUGAGUGAUGAAGGUCUUCGGAUCGUAAAACUCUGUUAUUAGGGAAGAACAAAUGUGUAAGUAACUAUGCACGUCUUGACGGUACCUAAUCAGAAAGCCACGGCUAACUACGUGCCAGCAGCCGCGGUAAUACGUAGGUGGCAAGCGUUAUCCGGAAUUAUUGGGCGUAAAGCGCGCGUAGGCGGUUUUUUAAGUCUGAUGUGAAAGCCCACGGCUCAACCGUGGAGGGUCAUUGGAAACUGGAAAACUUGAGUGCAGAAGAGGAAAGUGGAAUUCCAUGGGUAGCGGUGAAAUGCGCAGAGAUAUGGAGGAACACCAGUGGCGAAGGCGACUUUCUGGUCUGUAACUGACGCUGAUGUGCGAAAGCGUGGGGAUCAAACAGG
rnacentral:rRNA from 1 species